rnacentral:rRNA from 1 species
UACAGAGGUCUCAAGCGUUGUUCGGAUUCAUUGGGCGUAAAGGGUGCGUAGGCGGCGUGGUAAGUCGGGUGUGAAAUCUCGGAGCUUAACUCCGAAACUGCAUUCGAUACUGCCAUGCUUGAGGACUGGAGAGGAGACUGGAAUUUACGGUGUAGCGGUGAAAUGCGUAGAUAUCGUAAGGAAGACCAGUGGCGAAGGCGGGUCUCUGGACAGUUCCUGACGCUGAGGCACGAAGGUCAGGGGAGCAAACGGG